rnacentral:rRNA from 1 species
GAUGAACGCUGGCGGCGCGCCUAACACAUGCAAGUCGAACGAUUAAAGCACCUUCGGGUGUGUAUAAAGUGGCGAACGGCUGAGUAACACGUGGGCAACCUGCCCCUCUCAUUGGGAUAGCCACGGGAAACCGUGGAUAAUACCGAAUACUUCGGGACUUCCGCAUGGAAGACUCGAGAAAGCUCCGGCGGGGAGGGAUGGGCCCGCGGCCUGUUAGCUUGUUGGUGGGGUAAUGGCCUACCAAGGCAAUGAUGGGUAGCUGGGUUGAGAGACCGACCAGCCAGAUUGGGACUGAGACACGGCCCAGACUCCUACGGGAGGCAGCAGUGGGGAAUCUUGCACAAUGGGCGAAAGCCUGAUGCAGCGACGCCGCGUGCGGGAUGAAGGCCUUCGGGUUGUAAACCGCUUUCAGCAGGGACGAGGCGAAAGUGACGGUACCUGCAGAAGAAGCCCCGGCUAACUACGUG